rnacentral:lncRNA from 1 species
AUCAUAAGUAAUUUCCUUUUCUUUCUACUCCUACCCACAGGCUCUGAACAAGGAUUCUACCACCACAGGGUUAACAUCUAUGCUGGUCAAGAAGUAGAGGGUCAGUAGAAAUGGAGGGAAGCAAGCACUUACAGACAGCCCUAUGUGGCAGAUCUAGGCUAUAGCCUUUAUUCCAGUCAGUGAUGAAGGUCAGGCCUCAUUAGUGUGUGAGGUGUGUUAAAGUGAGGGAUAAUUUCAGAACAGGAUUAGAAAUGGACUCAAAGGCCUUUGACCAAACUGAUGAUAAGCCCACACCAAAGAAAACUCACAUCAGAAGAACCAAAGCUCAGGCUCUGCAAAUCUGAAUAUCAGCUGACAGUCUGAACAG